GGCCCGGUAGCUCAGCUGGUAGAGCAACAGCCUUUUAAGCUGAUGGUCCCGGGUUCGAGCCCCGGCCGGGUCA
rnacentral:tRNA from 1 species